CAAAAAAGGAGUCAGGCUGAUGUCUGCCCAAUAUUCUACUGAACUUAACUACCAAGAGCCUACAGUUGACUGGGAAACCUUGCUGAUAACAUAGCUAAAUGGGCUCCCCUGGACUCGCCUGGCAGAACUAACCACCUAGAAGAACGUUAUUGUAAGGGGGAAAUGCAAACAGGGUGAAGACAAGAGGCAUAGGUGAUGGACACUAAAACAAAGACCCGUCCUCACAUCUUCUACACACUUGUUAUUAUCUAAGUCAAUCAUGAAAAAUGAUGAAACAGGCCAGGCGUGUUGGCUCACACCUGUAAUCCCAGCACUUUGGGAGGCCGAGGCGGGCAGAUCAUGAGGUCAGGAGAUCGAGACCAGCCUGGCCAACAGGGUGAAACCCCAUCUCUACUAAAAAUACAAAAUGAGCCAGGCGUGGUGGCAUGUGCCUGUAGUCCCAGCUACUCGGGAGGCUGAGGCAGGAGAAUCGCUUGAACCCAGGAGGCAAAGGUUGCAGUGACCUGAGAUCACACCACUGGACUCCAGCCUGGGCGACAGAGCGAGACUCCAUCUCAAAAAAAAAAAAAAGAAUAAAGAAAAAUGAUGAAACAGAAUCAGGGAGAGAAUUCAGAGGAAAAUGACAUCCCUCCAGGUGUGUAUGAACCAAUUACUCAUAGAGUCAUAAACAGUUAGAGAAUGAGGCAUUUUUCACAAAAUAUUGAGGGCUGGAGAGGUUGAACAAUUUGCUCCCACUCACACAUCUAGGAAAGAGAGGAGAUGGAAAAGUAAACAAUCCAGAAAGGUCAAGGCCCUCAUUCCAUCAAUGCACAAUUCAAGUACACAUACGUGGGAAACCAUCUGAAAAGUUUUGUAAUUACAAUUUCAUCUAGCCAGCAAUUCUCCAACUCAUUCACAUGCAUCUCAUGACAUCGUUGUCAGAAGCCUUGCUAGAGUGAACGUGCACUUCAUCAAACACACCCCUGAUCCGUGGGAGAUGGGAUUCGUUUGUGCUGAUCUACUCUCCAGGAACACAAGAAACUCACCAUUCUAACGGUUCAUAAAUCAUCCAUUUAAUACCCCAGUUUCAGAUUUUGCAGGAAUUAACAUCAAUGCACGGUUUUUGAGACCCGCCAACUUGCUGAAACAGUGCAAGCCACCUGCAGUCCUCGGAUACCACUCAGUGAUGGCCCUAGGUCUCCCUACUCUGGGCCUGAGAUUCACUUACAGCUGCAAAACACACCUGUGCACUCUCCUCAUAGGCAGAACGCUUUCACUUCUCAGUCAUUUCCAACUGAGACUGUUUUCUCUGGUAGAGAAUACAGAAGUCAAAUGGACUCAGAGUGGUUCUGCCUUGUCUCUGCCUUCUGUUGUUGAGAAUAAACCAGAAAAAUCCCUUCUUCUGUCAUUAACA
rnacentral:lncRNA from 1 species